CAGCCGCCACGGUAACACGGAGGGUGCAAGCGUUAAUCGGAAUUACUGGGCGUAAAGCGCACGCAGGCGGUUUGUUAAGUCAGAUGUGAAAUCCCCGAGCUUAACUUGGGAACUGCAUUUGAAACUGGCAAGCUAGAGUCUUGUAGAGGGGGGUAGAAUUCCAGGUGUAGCGGUGAAAUGCGUAGAGAUCUGGAGGAAUACCGGUGGCGAAGGCGGCCCCCUGGACAAAGACUGACGCUCAGGUGCGAAAGCGUGGGGAGCAAACAGGAUUAGAUACCCCUGUAGUCCCUGUCUCUUAUAC
rnacentral:rRNA from 1 species